rnacentral:miRNA from 1 species
UAUGUUGUUGUCACCGGGAGGACC